UACUGACCUUAAUUCAGCUUCACUAACUCUAUUCAUCUCUUCAAUUAUUUCAUUCUUCAAGUUCUCUAUUUAUUCUCCUGUGAAUUUUUUCCUCUACCAUCAGUACUGUUUAAUUCACUUUCACUCUCUUUAAUUUACUAUAAUGCCUCGGAAAAGAAAAUAUCCCAAAUCUGCUCGGAGCACAAGGAAUAUCAGCAAAAGAAGGUUAAAAUUGAUAGUGAUGAGGCCCAUAUGAUCAAGUCUGAUAGUGCUCCUAGCAGUUUAGGUGAUGAUGAUAUUAAUGUCUUUGCUCAUGAUAGUAAUAAAAUUGCUCUUGAUAAAAGUAAUUGUGCUUCAGAUAGUACUAGUGGUAAUGGUAGUAAUCAUAAUAUUAUAAGAAAGAAACAAAAACUCACCAGGCAGCAAAAAAUGAAGGAAAAAAAAC